AAGUCGUAACAAGGUUUCCGUAGGUGAACCUGCGGAAGGAUCAUUACAAAUCCACCACGUCUCUCUCCUUUCGAGACCUCGUUGAACGUGUCACACACAGGAAGAGCGAGCAGGGGAAGAGAGAGAGAGAGAGAGAGAGAGGGCUGCCUGCGUAUGCGCGCGCAUGCUCUCUUGCUCUUGCUCUUGCUCUUGCUCUUGCUCCUGCUCCUCUCUUCCUUGAACUUUUCUAGUUUGAUAUCAUGUUGGUUGUCAGUAGUGUGUUAUACUCUUCUUCUCCUCCCCUUUUUCCUUUUUCCUUUUUCCUUUUUCUUCUUCUUGGCUUGCCUGACAAGCCAAGCAAGCAGCGAAAAUGAAAGAGAGAGAGAGAGACAAAGAGAGAGAGAAAGAGUGUGUACCAUGUAACAACUUAUAACAAUGGAUCUCUAGGCUCUU
rnacentral:misc_RNA from 1 species